GGGCGGUUAGCUCAGUUGGUAGAGCGCUUCAUUUACACUGAAGAUGUCAGGGGUUCGAGCCCUCUACCGCCCA
rnacentral:tRNA from 1 species